rnacentral:RNase_P_RNA from 1 species
CCGGCUGGGCGGCCGCGCGCGGAAACGCUCGAGGAACGUCCGGGCUCCACAGGGCAGGGUGAUGGCUAACAGCCACCCGGGGUAACCCGCGGGACAGUGCCACAGAAAACAAACCACCGACGCGUACGCGGCGGUAAGGGUGAAAAGGUGAGGUAAGAGCUCACCAGCGGCGCGGGCGACCGCGUCGGCUAGGUAAACCCCACCCGGAGCAAGACCGAGCAGCAGGCAGGGCGGCCCGCCUCACGCCUGCGGGUAGGUUGCUGGAGGCCGUCGGUAACGACGGUCCUAGAUAGAUGGUCGCCACCGCGUGUCCGGUAACGGCGCGAGGAACAGAACCCGGCGUAUAGGCUGAC